GUUGAUCACCACCAUAAUCUUUCUUCUGUGUCUAUGUCCAGGUAGGCUUUUGCAAAGGUAAGGAAUAUUGUGCGUAUGCUUGAUUUGGAGAGGACUACUGCUACCUGGUCAACAUCCAUGGAUCUGAAGUGGUCAAUUCUGUGGUCAACAACUCCACAAUGCACAAAGAAGAUAAGGAUAGCAUUGUAUUGCGGUUGCCAGCACUGCUUACAGAAGACAACUGCAUCAAUGAGUUACUGCAUCAAUGAUAACCACACAAACAGCGUUUAGAAGACUGCUGACCUGGCCAGCAUUCUUACCAAUGGACACUUACGAAUUGUGAACUGAAGAUGAAGUCAGCAACAUGGCGUUGGUGUUUGACAACAUUCAAUCCCCCUCCAGUCUGAGCAACUACAUCAUCUCCCGCAGCUGCAGUGCAAGCCAAUGCUACGCGUGUGUCUGUUGUGCUGUUACCGCCACUCAGUCAUCAGCAUCAUCCCCAUACCGCCCCAUGCAGUCUGCAGGCUAU